rnacentral:rRNA from 1 species
GACGGACCGUACGAACGUUAUUCGGAAUUACUGGGCUUAAAGGGUGCGUAGGCGGCUCAGAAAGUUGAAUGUGAAAGCCCUCGGCUUAACCGAGGAGUUGCAUCCAAAACUACUGGGCUUGAGUGAGACAGAGGUGAGCGGAACUCACGGUGGAGCGGUGAAAUGCGUAGAUAUCUGCAGGAACACCCGUGGCGAAAGCGGCGCGCUGGACCACUACUGACGCUGAGGAACGAAAGCUAGGGGAGCAAACAGG